CCUACGGGAGGCAGCAGUGGGGAAUAUUGCACAAUGGGGGAAACCCUGAUGCAGCGACGCCGCGUGAGUGAAGAAGUAUUUCGGUAUGUAAAGCUCUAUCAGCAGGGAAGAAAAUGACGGUACCUGAUGAAGAAGCCCCGGCUAACUACGUGCCAGCAGCCGCGGUAAUACGUAGGGGGCAAGCGUUAUCCGGAUUUACUGGGGGUAAAGGGAGCGUAGACGGGGAUGCAAGUCAGAAGUGAAAGCCCGGGGCUCAACUCCGGGACUGCUUUUGAAACUGUGUGACUUGAGUGCAGGAGAGGUAAGCGGAAUUCCUGGUGUAGCGGUGAAAUGCGUAGAUAUCAGGAGGAACACCAGUGGCGAAGGCGGCUUACUGGACUGUAACUGACGUUGAGGCUCGAAAGCGUGGGGAGCAAACAGGAUUAGAUACCCCAGUAGUC
rnacentral:rRNA from 1 species